rnacentral:rRNA from 1 species
GAUGAACGCUGGCGGCGUGCCUAAUACAUGCAAGUCGAGCGAACAGAUGAGGAGCUUGCUCCUCUGACGUUAGCGGCGGACGGGUGAGUAACACGUGGAUAACCUACCUAUAAGACUGGGAUAACUUCGGGAAACCGGAGCUAAUACCGGAUAAUAUAUUGAACCGCAUGGUUCAAUAGUGAAAGACGGUUUUGCUGUCACUUAUAGAUGGAUCCGCGCCGCAUUAGCUAGUUGGUAAGGUAACGGCUUACCAAGGCAACGAUGCGUAGCCGACCUGAGAGGGUGAUCGGCCACACUGGAACUGAGACACGGUCCAGACUCCUACGGGAGGCAGCAGUAGGGAAUCUUCCGCAAUGGGCGAAAGAUUGACGGAGCAACGCCGCGUGAGUGAUGAAGGUCUUCGGAUCGUAAAACUCUGUUAUUAGGGAAGAACAAAUGUGUAAGUAACUAUGCACGUCUUGACGGUACCUAAUCAGAAAGCCACGGCUAACUACGUG